UCUCCUUAUUGCUAAACCCAACUGAAAAGUACAAUUAGAUCAGUUCUUCCACGGCAGCAUAUUGCACAAACGACUUCUCUCCAGUGUUGCAGAGUGAGGUGUUUUAUGAGCCAUGAGCCCUGUGACCUCACUGCUUUGCCUGACAUGGCUGAUGCAAAGCCACUUUCCUUGGGCCCCAUCUUUCCUGUGUGACCAACAUCUCCUUUAAGCCCCAUCUCACCUGGAGCACCUGAGGAAGAAGAGAAAAGAAUACAGACAAUGAGA